CCACCCCAUAGAGCUCCUCCACUGCCCCAUGGAUUUCCACCAACCCCAUGGAGACCCAUCAUCCCAUGGAGAUCCACUGCCCCAUGGAUCUCCUCCACUGCCCCAUGGAGCUCCUCCACUGCCCCAUGGAUCUCCUCCACCACCCCAUGGAUCUCCUCCACUGCCCCAUGGAGCUCCUCCACUGCCCCAUGGAGCUCCUCCACUGCCCCAUGGAUCUCCUCCACCACCCCAUGGAUCUCCUCCACUGCCCCAUGGAGCUCCUCCACUGCCCCAUGGAGCUCCACCAACCCCAUGGAGAUCCACCAACCCCAUGUCUAUGUGUCUCCACCACCCCAUGGAGCUCCUCCACUGCCCCAUCGAUCUCCACCAACCCCAUGGAUCUCCUCCACCACCCCAUGGAGACCCACCAACCCAUAGAGACCCACCACCCCAUGGAGCUCCUCCACUGCCCCAUCGAUCUCCACCAACCCCAUGGAGCUCCACCACCCCAUGCAUUUCCACCACACAUGGAGACCCACCACCCCCAUGGAGAUCCACCACCCCCGUGGUGCUUCAUCACCCCCAUGGACCUCCUCCACCCCACUGAAUGCCACCACCCCAUGGACCUCCUCCACCCCAUGCAGAUGCACCGCCCCCAUUAUGCUCCAUCACCCCCAUGGACCUCCACAAUCCAUGGAGCUCCACCACCCCAUGUAGACCCACCACCCCCAUGGUGCUCUAUCACCCCCAUGGAGACCCACCAUCCCAUGGACCUCCUCCACCCCAUGGAGACCCAGAAUCCCCAUGGCGCUCCAUCACCCCCAUGGAGCUCCACCAUCCAUGGAGCUCCACCAUCCAUGGAGCUCCACCACCCCAUGGAGCUCCAUCACCCCCAUGGAGCUCCACCAUCCACAGAGCUCCAUCACCCCUUGGAGAUCCAUCACCCCUAUGGAGAUCCAUCACCCCGUGGAUAUCCAUCACCCCUAUGGAGAUCCAUCACUCCAUGGAGCUCCAUCGCCCCAUGGAGAUCCAUCACCCCAUGGAGAUCCAUCACCCCCAUGGAGCUCCACCAUCCCAUGGACCUCCUCCACCCCAUGGAGACCCAGCAUCCCCAUGACCCUCCAUCACCCCCAUGGAGCUCCACCAUCCAUGGAGAUCCAUCACCCCUAUGGAGAUCCAUCACCCCAUGGAGAUCCAUCACCCCAUGGUGCUCCAUCACCCCCAUGGACCUCCACCAUCCAUGGAGCUCCAUCACCCCAUGGAGAUCCAUCACCCCUAUGGAGCUCCACCAUCCAUGGAGCUCCAUCACCCCAUGGAGCUCCAUCACCCCCAUGGUGCUCCAUCACCCCAUGGAGAUCCACCAUCCAUGGAGCUCCAUCACCCCAUGGAGAUC
rnacentral:lncRNA from 1 species